GUAUAGCUCAGUGGUAGAGCUCUUGUCUUACAUGCAUGAGGCCCUGGGUUCCAUCCCCAGCAC
rnacentral:tRNA from 1 species